UACGUAGGGGGCGAGCGUUGUCCGGAAUCAUUGGGCGUAAAGAGCGUGUAGGUGGCUUGGAAAGUCUUACGUGAAAGCCUGCGGCUCAACCGCAGAAGUGCGUAGGAAACUUCCUCGCUAGAGUCCGGAAGAGGAGAGCGGAAUUCCGUGGUGUAGCGGUGGAAUGCGCAGAUAUCAGGAGGAACACCCGUGGCGAAGGCGGCUCUCUGGGACGGUACUGACACUGAGACGCGAAAGCGUGGGGAGCGAACAGG
rnacentral:rRNA from 1 species